AACUCUGUACCUCAGUUGGUUAGAGCACUGAAAGGGAAUCGCAGGUUCAAUUCCUGCCAGAGUUU
rnacentral:tRNA from 1 species